rnacentral:rRNA from 1 species
AGCGAACGCUGGCGGCAGGCUUAACACAUGCAAGUCGAGCGGGCAUAGCAAUAUGUCAGCGGCAGACGGGUGAGUAACGCGGGGGAACGUACCUUUUGGUUCGGAACAACACAGGGAAACUUGUGCUAAUACCGGAUAAGCCCUUACGGGGAAAGAUUUAUCGCCGCAAGAUCGGCCCGCGUCUGAUUCGCUAGUUGGUGAGGUAAUGGCUCACCAAGGCGACGAUCAGUAGCUGGUCUGAGAGGAUGAUCAGCCACAUUGGGACUGAGACACGGCCCAAACUCCUACGGGAGGCAGCAGUGGGGAAUAUUGGACAAUGGGCGCAAGCCUGAUCCAGCCAUGCCGCGUGAGUGAUGAAGGCCCUAGGGUUGUAAAGCUCUUUUGUGCGGGAAGAUAAUGACGGUACCGAAAGAAUAAGCCCCGGCUAACUUCGUG